UACGUAGGUGGCAAGCGUUGUCCGGAAUUACUGGGCGUAAAGGGUGCGUAGGCGGUCUUUCAAGCCAGAAGUGAAAGGCUACGGCUCAACCGUAGUAAGCUUUUGGAACUGUAAGACUUGAGUGCAGGAGAGGAGAGUGGAAUUCCUAGUGUAGCGGUGAAAUGCGUAGAUAUUAGGAGGAACACCAGUAGCGAAGGCGGCUCUCUGGACUGUAACUGACGCUGAGGCACGAAAGCGUGGGGAGCAAACAGGAUUAGAUACCCUGGUAGU
rnacentral:rRNA from 1 species